rnacentral:rRNA from 1 species
UCAGUACGGGAGGCAGCAGUAGGGAAUCUUCGGCAAUGGACGGAAGUCUGACCGAGCAACGCCGCGUGAGUGAAGAAGGUUUUCGGAUCGUAAAGCUCUGUUGUAAGAGAAGAACGAGUGUGAGAGUGGAAAGUUCACGCUGUGACGGUAUCUUACCAGAAAGGGACGGCUAACUACGUGCCAGCAGCCGCGGUAAUCUGA